rnacentral:rRNA from 1 species
UACGGGGGGGGCAAGCGUUGUUCGGAAUUACUGGGCGUAAAGGGCUCGUAGGUGGCCAACUAAGUCGGACGUGAAAUCCCUCGGCUUAACCGGGGAACUGCGUCCGAUACUGGAUGGCUUGAGUUUGGGAGAGGGAUGCGGAAUUCCAGGUGUAGCGGUGAAAUGCGUAGAUAUCUGGAGGAACACCGGUGGCGAAGGCGGCAUCCUGGACCAACACUGACACUGAGGAGCGAAAGCCGGGGGAGCAAACGGG